rnacentral:piRNA from 1 species
UCCUCUUGAGGUGUCAUCUGAUGCUGCACU